AUACGGAGGGUCCAAGCGUUAUCCGGAUUCAUUGGGUUUAAAGGGUCCGCAGGCGGGAAAAUAAGUCAGUGGUGAAAGACUACAGCUCAACUGUAGAACUGCCAUUGAAACUGUUUUUCUUGAGUAUAGAUGAAGUGGGCGGAAUACAUCAUGUAGCGGUGAAAUGCAUAGAUAUGAUAUAGAACACCGAUUGCGAAGGCAGCUCACUAAACUAUUACUGACGCUCAGGGACGAAAGCGUGGGGAGCGAACAGGAUUAGAUACCCUAGUAGUCC
rnacentral:rRNA from 1 species